GAUGAACGCUGGCGGCGUGCCUAAUACAUGCAAGUCGAGCGAACAGACGAGGAGCUUGCUCCUCUGACGUUAGCGGCGGACGGGUGAGUAACACGUGGAUAACCUACCUAUAAGACUGGGAUAACUUCGGGAAACCGGAGCUAAUACCGGAUAAUAUAUUGAACCGCAUGGUUCCAUAGUGAAAGACGGUUUUGCUGUCACUUAUAGAUGGAUCCGAGCCGCAUUAGCUAGUUGGUAAGGUAACGGCUUAACAAGGCAACGAUGCGUAGCCGACCUGAGAGGGUGAUCGGCCACACUAGAACUGAGACACGGUCCAGACUCCUACGGGAGGCAGAAGUAGGGAAUCUUCCGCAAUGGGCGAAUGCCUGACGGAGCACCGCCGCGUGAGUGAUGAAGGUCUACGGAUCGUAAAGCUCUGUUAUUAGGGAAGAACAAAUGUGUAAGUAACUAUGCACGUCUUGACGGUACCUAAUCAGAAAGCCACGGCUAACUACGUG
rnacentral:rRNA from 1 species